rnacentral:RNase_P_RNA from 1 species
GCGUUCAGGUAAUUGCUGCAUCUUUACGAUGUUGAGGAAAGUCCAUGCUCGCACGGUCUGCGAUGACCGUAGUGUUCGUGCCUAGCGAAGUCAUAAGCUAGGGUAGUUCGGUUUCGACUGAGCUAACGGCAGGGAACGCACCUAAGUCUUUUAGAUAUGGUGUUAAUACCUUGAAAGUGCCACAGUGACGGAGUCUACUCGGAAACGAGUAGAGUGGAACGAGGUAAACCCCACGAGCGAGAAACCCAAAUUUGGUAGGGGAACCUUCUUGAGGGAAUUGAACCAAGAGAAGGACAGGAAGCAACUUCCUGUAGAUAGAUGAUUACCACCCUAGUACGAGGUGAAUAGCCGUUUGCAGUACAAAGGAACAAAACAUGGCUUAUCGAA